UGGGGAAUUUUGGACAAUAGGGGAAACCCUGAUCCAGCCAUCCCGCGUGUGCGAUGAAGGCCUUCGGGUUGUAAAGCACUUUUGGCAGGAAAGAAACGUCGCGGGUUAAUACCCCCGCNAAACUGACGGUACCUGCAGAAUAAGCACCGGCUAACUACGUGCCAGCAGCCGCGGUAAUACGUAGGGUGCAAGCGUUAAUCGGAAUUACUGGGCGUAAAGCGUGCGCAGGCGGUUCGGAAAGAAAGAUGUGAAAUCCCCNNAGCUUAACUUUGGAACUGCAUUUUUAACUACCGGGCUAGAGUGUGUCAGAGGGAGGUGGAAUUCCGCGUGUAGCAGUGAAAUGCGUAGNUAUGCGGAGGAACACCCGAUGGCGAAGGCAGCCUCCUGGGAUAACACUGACGCUCAUGCACGAAAGCGUGGGGAGCAAACAGGAUUAGAUACCCUGGUAGUCCACGCCCUAAACGAUGUCAACUAGCCUGUUGGGGCCUUCGGGGCCUUGGUAGGCGCAGCUAACGCGUGAAGUUACCGCCUGGGGAGUACGGUCGCAAGAUUAAAACUCAAAUGAA
rnacentral:rRNA from 1 species